rnacentral:rRNA from 1 species
AUUGAACGCUGGCGGCAUGCUUUACACAUGCAGGUCGAACGGUAACAGGUUAAGCUGACGAGUGGCGAACGGGUGAGUAAUGCAUCGGAACGUGCCCGAUCGUGGGGGAUAACGCAGCGAAAGCUGCGCUAAUACCGCAUACGAUCUGAGGAUGAAAGCGGGGGACCGGAAGGCCUCGCGCGAUCGGAGCGGCCGAUGUCAGAUUAGGUAGUGGGUGGGGUAAAGGCUCACCAAGCCGACGAUCUGUAGCUGGUCUGAGAGGACGACCAGCCACACUGGGACUGAGACACGGCCCAGACUCCUACGGGAGGCAGCAGUGGGGAAUUUUGGACAAUGGGCGAAAGCCUGAUCCAGCAAUGCCGCGUGCAGGAAGAAGGCCUUCGGGUUGUAAACUGCUUUUGUACGGAGCGAAAAGGCUCUCUCUAAUACAGGGGGCUCAUGACGGUACCGUAAGAAUAAGCACCGGCUAACUACGUGCCAGCAGCCGCCGUAACAC